UCUAGCUUUACUAGUUUGCUGCCCUCUUUAUUUUCUGCUAAAGUGGUCACUGACCCUUCAACACAAAAUGGGAUAUGACGUAACUCCAGUCAGUUUAUUCACAGACACAUGACCUGUUUGUUUCAUGUGCCAGGCUUACUGUUUCAGAUGCUGCGGGGAGAAAGUAAAAUAGGCUGAUGUGGUCUCACUUCUUACAGGGCUAAUGAGAAGGGAAGAGCAAAACAAUACCCAGACAAAGUAACUGCUGAUUAAGAUGGACACUAUGAAAAAUCAGGACAGGACAGAAGGCAAUUGUUCCCUGAACUGGCAGGGCUCUCUUAUGGCUAACACAGCCCUGUGAAGAACACAGAAGGCUAUGAAAACAGCCUUUUAACAGAACUUCAUUCCACUUGCCUUCUUGAAGAAAAGCCAUUGGAGAACACAACAGCUGACGGCGUCAUCUCUGAAAGGAAGUUAAGCAGCUCUCUGAAGUGUCUCUAAAAUCAACCUUUCUCCACCCUGGAUUGUAAGCCACAGCACAAACGACAAUGUCUUCUGCUAAUCUGCUAGAGAUAAAAUGUUGAAAAAUGUUAAAACUGUUCUCUGCUGAUGUAUACAGUUUUGUGGAAAUUCUGUGUGGGGCAGAAGAAAAGCAUCUUUUACUGCUUCCUGGUUAUUUGGAAACUGACCAUCCCAGAGUUUUAGAAGAAAUCUCUUCAUCAACAUCCAGCCACUCUCUUUUAAACAGCCAAGAAUUUUUAAGAACUGAAAAAGAACAUGUAAUCAUAUGUAAUUUCCAAAUAAAAGAAUUUUU